AGACAAAUGCAUCAACCUCAUCCGCGUCGCGCACCAGAAAGAAAAGAGGAAUACAACAAUCAUUGGAAAAGAAAAGAGGAAUACAACAAUCAUUGGAUCACCUGGCAGAUAUUUUUGCCAGUUUUUUGAAGUCUGAACCACCCCGGGCGAGUACACAAAUGGUGUUGGAUGAAGUCUACAAAGUUAAAGACCUGAAUGAAACACAAAUUUUAAGAGUUGUGGAUCUUUUGAUGAACGACCAAAGGAAGUUUGAUACUUUUACUGGUCUUCCCAAUGGAUUGAAGAGGCGAUGGCUUAUCAUGCAUCUUGGUAACCAGUUUAAGUAGCGUUCUGGCGAGUCUUUUUCUGGUAACUCUUACUGUACUAGUCCUAUUGCUGCUAAAAACAAAUGCUCUUAGAGCUGGUUGGUUUAGUUUUUUCACAUCCUAUUUGGCUUGUCUGAUAUUUUGAUCAAAAUCAGGUUUGUACGUUUUACUUUGAUAUCAGAAUUGGAUUCCUUUGCUUAUAUCUGGUGUGGGAAUUUUGUCAAUUAUGUUACAUUAAAACUUAUAUGCAUGCACUUGCCCA
rnacentral:lncRNA from 1 species